rnacentral:rRNA from 1 species
UGAACGCUGGCGGCGUGCCUAAUACAUGCAAGUCGAGCGAACAGACGAGGAGCUUGCUCCUCUGACGUUAGCGGCGGACGGGUGAGUAACACGUGGAUAACCUACCUAUAAGACUGGGAUAACUUCGGGAAACCGGAGCUAAUACCGGAUAAUAUAUUGAACCGCAUGGUUCAAUAGUGAAAGACGGUUUUGCUGUCACUUAUAGAUGGAUCCGCGCCGCAUUAGCUAGUUGGUAAGGUAACGGCUUACCAAGGCGACGAUGCGUAGCCGACCUGAGAGGGUGAUCGACCACACUGGAACUGAGACACGGUCCAGACUCCUACGGGAGGCAGCAGUAGGGAAUCUUCCGCAAUGGGCGAAAGCCUGACGGAGCAACGCCGCGUGAGUGAUGAAGGUCUUCGGAUCGUAAAACUCUGUUAUUAGGGAAGAACAAAUGUGUAAGUAACUAUGCACGUCUUGACGGUACCUAAUCAGAAAGCCACGGCUAACUACGUG